AUCAGUGUGAUGGGGGAUCUCGAUUGCCUAGGGUCUCCAUGGAAAGAUGCUUCUUGGCGUGUCUGUGAGGAAGCUUCUAGAUCGAGCAGGGAGGGAGAUCCGGGUCUGGUUUCAUUCUUCUCCAAAUGCAGAUGGCAACAGUGCUGAAGCCAAUCCACAGAUGCUGCUCAACCCCCAUCAAACCCCAAUGAAGUCUUCGCAGAACUGGGAAAGUGACCUGAAAACAAAACAGAUCCCAAAUAGUCCUUAGCAGAAAGAGCCAUGCUGGAACUAUCAUAAUACUCAAUCUGCAAGUGUAUUACAGAGACAUAGUAACCAAGCCAACGUGUCACUGACGCAAACAAACAAACAAACAAACGAACAUGCAGACCCAUAAAUAGAUCAGAGGACCCAGAAAUAAACUCACACAGCCUCAUGUUCCCAUGGCUACAGAUUAGAGCCUGGUCCCCUGCUUCGGUGUAUCUCCCUACCACAUGACGGAUGGACUCACCUGUUUCCCCUUCAGUUGUUUCUUGCUGGUCACAGCAAUGAGAAAAGUAACAGAUCAUCUGUACUGAGAACAUUGACCCACCCUCACCACGUCAAUGGGAAAUCAUCACUGUUUGCCCCGAAGGACUUGUACUAAUUGACAAAAAUUGGUCCUCACUCUUUCUACAAUUGAUCUGUGAGGCUCAUAUAUUUUUUUCCACUGAAAGAAAAACAAUUUUCCUGUCCCUUAGUUCCAGAAAAUUAGGCUUGUCUAAGCCAGGUGGUUUGUAAAUAAUAAAUUGCAUUAUCUGCAAAAACAUA
rnacentral:lncRNA from 1 species